rnacentral:lncRNA from 1 species
UUUUCCAAAAGUUUUCCAACUAGAGAAAGCUGGAUCCUCAGGCUCAGAACUCCCCUGACUCCACCUCCCUUCCCGCCCACUUUCGUUCCAGCUCCAUCUUUCUCCUCCUGCUCCUGCCCACCAUCUUCCCAGCAGGCCCUGCUACAAGCCUCUCCAAACACCGAAACGGGAGCCGCUCCGCACCGGCCUCCGGCGCUUAAUCCGGUUGGGGAGGGGCUGCUGCGACCCCGGGACGUGCUUUGGUGUCACUCACACUUCCACCCCCACCCAAAGAGACCCGAAGCAAUAGCACCUUUACAAAAACUGACCGGCAGGGAUGCAGGGGAUUUUCCUCUCUUCCCUCACCUCGAUUUGUGUCGCGCCCAAGAAACCAAAUAUCCUGCAGACAGAUGGGAGUGUUUGGGAGCUGCUACAGGAAACAGGCCCUGGACUAUAAGGACUUCUGCACACGUCGACUCCUGGUCACGUGAGUGCCGCGUCACCACUGAGCUCGCCUCCCCAGUCACCCCUCCCAUUAACACUGAAGCCCGCCCACUGCGUUCCCUCCACUUGAUACUGUCAAUCUUUUUUCGUAUUUGCCAAUCAGUGACAAUAAACUGUUACCUUCCCCCUGGACUCUUUAUUCGCCUUUCUCAGAUUACCAGGAGGAUCAGCCUUCUAGGGUAAAACGACCAUUUCUCUUUCUUUGGCGAAUCGUCUCUUUCUUCUGCUCUCAAUACUCCCACCUCCAAGACCCCUACAG